rnacentral:misc_RNA from 1 species
ACUUCCACCUGGCUUACUCCUCAGUUAUGCGAAAAGGCUUGUAUUGCCUGGAGCGUAUUAUGGGUUUUUUGUGUUGCAUACCUAAUUGAUGGCAUCGUUUUGACUAACUGAAGUCCUUUUUUGUUGUGUGUUGCCUUUGUGACACAUGAUGAACCUUGAAGUGGUCUUUAUGAUCCAUCUUGUUGAUGCAGAUGCAUUGAUUGUGUGGCCCAUUGAGUUUUUCUUGGUCUCUUGGAUACGGAACAUGAUGUGGCUUUAGGUUCUUUCAUGAUCCUUGUUUUGCCCUUGUUUGCUUUUCUCUAAACGACGGUUCAUGCACGUCUAGGCUUGUACCUGCGUGAUGAUCUAUGUCGAAGUUGAAUGC